UAGGGAAUCUUCGGCAAUGGACGAAAGUCUGACCGAGCAACGCCGCGUGAGUGAAGAAGGUUUUCGGAUCGUAAAACUCUUUUGUUAGAGAAGAACAAGGACGUUAGUAACUGAACGUCCCCUGACGGUAUCAAACCAGAAAGCCACGGCUAACUACGUGCCAGCAGCCGCGGUAAUACGUAGGUGGCAAGCGUUGUCCGGCUUUAUUGGGCGUAAAGCGAGCGCUGGCGGUUUCUUAAGUCUGAUGUGAAAGCCCCCGGCUCAACCGGGGAGGGUCAUUGGAAACUGGGAGACUUGAGUGCAGAAGAGGAGAGUGGAAUUCCAUGUGUAGCGGUGAAAUGCGUAGAUAUAUGGAGGAACACCAGUGGCGAAGGCGGCUCUCUGGUCUGUAACUGACACUGAGGCUCGAAAGCGUGGGGAGCAAACAGG
rnacentral:rRNA from 1 species